rfam:Oryza meridionalis cultivar OR44 (W2112) chromosome 2, whole genome shotgun sequence.
AAUAAGCGCAUCUGUGGGUUUCAGUGCCCAACUUUAACCAUCCGUCUUAUUUGAAAUAUUUUUAUGAUUAGUUUUUUUUAUUGUUAUUAGAUGAUAAAAUAUGAAUAUUACUUUAUGCGUGACUUAACUUGUAAAAUUUUUUCAUAAUUUUUCAAAUAAGACGGACUGUCAAACGUUGGGCAUGAAAACUUAUGGCUAUACUUAUA